CAACAUUGUAGGGAAGACACAGACAUAGAAAAUUGGGUGGACAUGCACAAAAAGCUGGAAGACUCAGGAAGCUAGGAACAGUCACACAAAUCCAGGGGGAGCAAACACAUAGAGCCAAUGAACAUGGACACACUAAAUUGGGGAACACAGAAAGCUAGGAGACACAGCUGCAGGGGUGUAUGUGCAAGAAUCUUGGAUAUGCACAAAGCUGGUUGGAAACAG